AGUGAACGCUGGCGGUAGGCCUAACACAUGCAAGUCGAACGGCAGCACAGUAAGAGCUUGCUCUUACGGGUGGCGAGUGGCGGACGGGUGAGGAAUACAUCGGAAUCUACUUUUUCGUGGGGGAUAACGUAGGGAAACUUACGCUAAUACCGCAUACGACCUACGGUUGAAAGCAUGGGAUCUUCGGACCUUGCGCGAUUGAAUGAGCCGCUGUCGGAUUAGAUAGUUGGCGGGUUAAAGGCCCACCAAGGCGACGAUCCGUAGCUGGUCUGAGAGGAUGAUAAGCAACACUAGAACGGAGACACGGUCCAGACUCCUACGGGAGGCAGCAGUGGGGAAUAUUGGACAAUGGGCGCAAGCCUGAUACAGCCAUACCGCGUGGGUGAAGAAGGCCUUCGGGUUGUAAAGCCCUUUUGUUGGGAAAGAAAAGCAGCAGGUUAAUACCACGCUGUUCUGACGGUACCCGAAGAAUAAGCACCGGCUAACUACGUG
rnacentral:rRNA from 1 species